UUUUAUUGAUGUAUUGAAGUUAACGAUAUUAAUAUAAUAACGGUACCCGUAUAAUAAAAUGCCAAUAAAAAAAAAAAUAAUAAUAAAAAUAAUAUUCGUUUUGCCGAAUUUUAUAUGAAAUAGUAUAGUCGAAAUGCCGACUCCUCAAUACUCCUUCAAUUUCCUCUCUAUCCUCUGAUCUGAAUGAACGUUACGAACACGGUAAUUCACGGGCGCAAAGACAAUCAAGAC